UGCAAGCCUCACAGCCACCUCAGUAUGAAUGGUGGAGCUGAGGAGGACAUCUCUGGUGCAGCAAUUAAUAAAGUUAGUGAGGAGACCCAGAGAGAGAGCAAGCGCGCACGCGGUUACUGUGUGUGCAGGAUGGUUUUUAGUCACCAGUGCAAAAGUUUUAAAGUGAAAGAAAAUGUGUCAGGUCAUAUAUUGAUGCAGAUGUGCGUCUCACAAAUGCUGGCUGAAAAGAAAAAGAAAAGACGUGCAAAGUUUGCGCCUGUCCGCCAGUGAAGUGGGUUUUCAGUGAAGACUUUCUGAUGAAGAGGAGGAUGAAGACAGACAAACUGGGCCAAGGCGCAGGACUGAGAAAUAUUUUCACCACAGGACCUUCAGGCUGGUUUCCACCACAUCCACCCAUCCUAACAACUCAUGGGGAAACCACCUCAGCAAAGCUCAUCCGUUGAAAUGUUGCUGAGUCAGUUUGGGGUCAUGACAUCAUCAUCAUGAGAUGGAGGAGCUGGCGAGCAGUGACCACAGGCAGCGACAGAAGAGGGUGGUGCCUGUGUGUUGUGGUUUGUAGCUGCUGCUUCUUGGCAAACAAAUUGUGCUGUGGAGUUGCCUCAGGGAAUAAUUUGCUCAAAUGUUGAAAGGAAGAACAAAUUCAAAAGGUUUAAAAAGGCAGUAAGUAAGAUUUUUAUUGUCGCAUUGCACCAAAUGACUAUAAAACACCUGCAGGAGGCUGAUAGUGUUGUUAAUUGUCCAGGUGCUGAGGUUUCUUGGCUUUCCAAACUGUCUUUCCGGCUUGUGGGUUGUUACGGAGCAAAAUCUCCACACCCAGUGAAGUCAUGCUGAUGGUGAACACAGUAACAAACAAACUUCUCACGUUACAGAGAAAAAUUUGAAUCCAGAACAGGUCAUUUGUGUGAUUCAGGUAGAUCCGAUGAGUUUUUGAAAUGCGUCUAGGUCUACAAGGACAGAGUCACGGUGAGUUAAAAGGGAACCACGCCUUUUGAGUUGUCAAAAAGCAAAGAGAAACUAAAGCUCCUGGUUACUGUGUUAACAUUAGCCACUGGUGGUUCCAUUUUCUUUAUGCUAAGAUAAUAUUAGCAAGGCUAAUGCUGUCAUAAACACAACAUAAUUAAACAAUUUGUUUUUGGAUUUGUUUUGGAGCAUGAGGCUAAUUCGAUACUAAUACGAUACUACAGUGUAGACGUUACCUAGCUAAAAUGGACCUGUGUUACCUAUAAUGAAGGUUAGUUAUAAAGAAUGUUUGUUAAUGUAGCCUAAUUAUAUUGCUUAUUGCUGUAUUUGUGAGUAUAAAUACUGAAACAAUACUUUUUACAACCAUCAACUGUUCUAUAAUACUAUUUUGAGUAAUUAUCACAAAAGUUUUUAUGGGCAGCAGUGUCUUUUUUUUAUUAGUAAUUAGGCUUCCUGGCAGCUUUAUACUUUAAGACAAAAUGAUUAGACAGACGUAUAACUGAGCUUGUGCUGAAAAAAUUAUACCAUGCACUUGGAGUAAUACCAAUUUAAAAAGGUGCUGUACAAACUCAAAAUUUAAUGCAUAAAGUAGUUAGUGGAUUUACAUGCUAUUUUAUCCAAAAAUGAUUAAACAAAAAUGGACUCCCUGUAGUUUAUGAAGUUAAUUUAACAACACAGCUAAUGACAGCUGAUCUGAACUGUGUGUGCUUACAGGUGUUGGUUCCUCUGUUAAUGUGAGAGGUUUAAAGCUCAUCAUUACUCAGAAGUUUGAAAUUUAGGCAGGUAAAUUUUCUGACCCCAUAAUUCCAUAUUAAACUUUAAAUAGCACUACAAUUUCCAAAACACAAGUAAAGAAUGAAUGACUGAAUGAAUUUGCUGCAUCUUUCCAGUAUCUUAUUAAUCGAAAUAAAUAAAUCAGCUUUAUUACAUUAACAUACAAUUUGGUUAAAUCCAGCUCUGGUUGUGGUAUUAUAAUGAAAGGUCAUGAAAUGCACUCACCACAUAAAUUGCUCUCACUCUAGUAAGAACAAGUGCAUAUUGUGUACAGUCUAACAAUGCUUCUGUGACAACACAUCAACUGACUGACCUCAAGGACUUUUAGUGCACUUUAGCAAGUCUGUAGAAUUAAAACACUGCUUACUUUACAGCCAUUAUUUGCUUAUAAAAAAGAUUUAGCACAUGACUAACCUUUUUUUAGUAAAUGAUAUAUAAUCAAUAUUUUCUGUGUUUGGCAGCAGUUCAUGUCAGCUAGUUGAUGGAAAAACUGCAUUAAACUUUGUUUUCAAAUAUUUAAGUAAAUUGAGAAAAUUUACCUCGAACCCCAACAAAAAAUUAGUAAGCUGAUUUUUAUUUAAACAACUAUGACCAGAUUUCAUGAAUGAUCAAAAAACUGUUGAUCAUUAAGCUUCUGGGGAAGUGUUCCAGCUGAGUAACACUGGACUGUUUUGAAACUAAUACCAGGUUGUCAUUUAUGGGUUGAGUGAGUUUCAUGACCCUCAAGCUGUAAAGCUACAUUGUUAAAUUUCAAAAUGUGGUUAUCAGUGAGAACUUGCAUCAUUCUUGUGAGAUUUACUUUUCCCAAAAUACAUUUUUAUGUUCCAGCAAUAGUGAUUUUCUGUUUGUCCUGAGAUUAACACCUCAGAAAGAUAUAUGUGUUUUGUGUAGAAGACAGGAGGAUGUUUACCAAUGCUCUGUCUGUAGGCAUGGUAAUGCAUGAAAUACCACAUUUUGUCAUGUCCACACUGCAGAUUUGUAAACAACUUUUAUAUUUCUCUCUUUUGUCUGUCUGUACUGAAAACUGCACUUGUCUUAAAGCCUACUGUAUAAUGACACAUUUUAUGGUCCAGUGAUCCAUUUGAGAGACUUGCUGUUCUGUACAUGACAUCAAUUCACCCUAAACAACAGAAAGCUACAUGGCAGCACAACAAGCUGACCUGAAAAGGAUUUAGCUGCCUUUGUUUUUGCAUGUCAAUGUGGAGAGCAAGCAAUUUUUAUGAAACAAUUUUGUAAACACGAGUGUGGAUAAGACACACUAUUUUCAGACUUAAUCUGCAUUAAUAUGAACAUAGGCGAGGACCGGAUGACAAACAAUACUGAUGGAGACAAGAGACCAAGUGUUGCAUGUUGGCUAAAACAACAAUGACAGAUUCUGACACAGAAAUCUGUAUUCAUGUUUUUGACUAUUCUCUCUAACUCUCUUUGUUUUUUUUGUGAAAUAAUAGACUUCUAUUACAUCCCAAAAAUGCUGGGAACCACUGGUUUAAUCUUUAAUAUGAAAAGUAACUAGUUGCUAUGUUUGUGAGAUAAAUGUAGUGCAGUAAAAAGUACAAUAUUUCCCUCUAAAAGUAUUACUGUAAGUAUCAUCACUGUAAGUAAAGUACAAGAAAGAAAAGGAAGACAAAUUGCUCAACUUUUUAGUGUGUAUAGUUAACAUUUAUUUUGAGGGGACAACCAGCCCUUGUAGGAAAGAACAACUUGGCCAGUGGCUUCCAGAUCAUUUGAGUUUGAUACCCCUAAAUUAGGAGCUUGUCUGUGUUUUAUUUUAACACAUUAUGCUGUUAUCACAAAAUCUCAUUAACAAAACGCAAAGAGAAUGUAUCAAGUGUGAGAGAACAAAUGCUGAAAAAAACAAGGAAGAAAGGCGUGUGUUUGUGUGUGCAUAUGUGUGUUGUGUUUGAAAAAGCGUGUGAACUAGGAAGAGAGGGACAAAGACUGAACAGGAAAGAGUGCGUGUGAAGAGAGAGCAAGGUGGAGUGAGUCAGGGAGAGAGAGAAAGAGAGGAGGGGAAAUAUAUUUGUCUGCCUAUAAAGCUCAGCAUGCUUCUCGUUUUGGAUUCUGGACCCUGUCGUGUAAAGUUUAGCAGAAGUGAAUCUUGACUGUAAGAAACGAUGACAAUACACCAAUAAAACAUCUCAAACCGAG